rnacentral:lncRNA from 1 species
GAAGAGAUUUGGGAAAAGGGUAGAAUUAGGAUUGAAGUCUAAUUCUUGCAACUCUUUUUUAUUGAAUCGUUGUAAUCAAGAUUUUCAUUGAUAGUGAAACGGAGAGUGGCUCUCUCCCCCAGAGUAGGUCGGUUUUGACUGAACUGGGUAAACAAUUGCUUCGUGUUCUUUACAGUUUUAUUACUUAUCUUUUGUUCGUGAUUAUUAU